CGGCUAAAGUUCGUGUGAUACGAUUGCAGCGAACUCCGAGUCCCCCGCCGCCGCGCAGCCGCCGUCUCCGCGCUCGGUGCGUAAGCGCUUUGGCUCCGCCAGCGAGGAGACCAUCCUCAAGCAAGUGAACGGCGCUGGCGGCGAAGGCGGCUGCGUGUCUCUCGCCGAAUGGGAGGCCUUCAAGCAGGAAAUGCUGAGGGAAGUGCGAACGCAGAUGGCGCACGUCAAGAGGGACAUACUAGACGCAAUUAAGGCGGAGCUAGCGCGCAGGUAAUUCACGCGCGUUGUCCUCUCAUCCUAGUCCGGCCAACUGGUGAACACAUAUUUUGAAUACACGUAACAUCUAUUACUGUUGUAAACAGCUUAAUUAAGUUUUUAUAUGUUCUAUUUACUAAAGUCUCAGUAAAGAUAAAUUUUACUCAAGUUUACGAUUAGUUUCGGUAUCCCAUCGUUAUGUUAGUUAACUAAUCAGUUAAAGCCUUUAAAGUUUGAGGUUUUUGUUUGUGUAUGUACCAUGUUACUCCGAAACUUGGACUUUAGAAAAUAUUACUGUUUGAAAAAGGUAACCCGAACUCUUGUUUUGCGAAACAAAGAAAAAAUGUCGACACGGUAGUGUGCCAAGCCAAGUUAGGCAAAACUGAUGCACUUCAACAUUUUUUUUAAUCAUUAAAUGUAUCCGUUUUUUGUUUGUCAAUUUUCAAAUAUAUUUUGGUUAAAUUACUUAGUUAGAGUAUGAGGUUAUGUGCCUGUAACAAGAAAUUUUAUAUAAGGUAAUCCUUUAUAAUGGGUCUAUUUAAAGAAUUUGGCCUUAAUUAUUGUAUUAAUAACUUUUCUUAAACGAUCUUAAUUCGUGUCAAUUUUUACACGUUUUUACUAAUUUUUUUCACCCAUUGCGCAAGAGUCCGAAAGAUGGUAAUGGUGGGUGUGUUUUUUAUACGGUCAUAGAAAACCCUGAAGUGACGUUGAAAUGAUAUCAAAAUAUUUGUUCAUCUACGGCUUAUAUGUGAUCAAACGAACGUAUUACGUAAAUUUAGAGAUACCGCCUCGCUACAGUGUGGACAUGUCGAAAAAAACAACGACUUUAAAAAAGCAACAUAAUGUUGCCAGUCGAAAAAAUUCAAAAUCGGUCUAGAUUUUACUAAUCACUUGUAUUGUCUAAUCGAGUAUUUUAGAAGAAAAAUAAAACAAUGAUUUUUUCGGCAAAUAUCUUUUUGUCCCAAAAAAAAUCUCGAUUAAAUAAUAAAAUAACUAUAAUUGAUCGAUUUUCAAUUCGUAAUUGAUACUUAGCGCACUAACGUCGAUGCAUAAAGUUGUGUUUUUUUAAUUUUAUACUUAAAAAUAUUUAUUCGGAUACGUAGUGUGUAAGAGUUCGGACAUUUUAUAAUGAUGGUGUAUUGCUGUUGCUUUCUGUUUAAUUUUUAAACUAAAAAAAACGGAACACAUUUUUUGUAUAUGAAUACGAAGACUGUCUAAAACACCAUCCAUCCACCAUCUCAUCUUUGACCUGCAUGCAGUACCGUGCCCUAAAAUCCAUUGGAGUAUAAGAAUUUUUUAUAACGCUCUUAAAACAAAUAUAUCUUUCUAGAAUACGAGAUAUCAUCGAAAAUAUACUGUGUUUCAUGUUUUAUGUCCAACCAUUAACAAAAACCAAUAGCAAAACACCUUAAAAGUUUAAAAUAUACGUGUAAUAUUCACCUAGCAUUAUCAUGUAACUAGUAUUACUCGAUAUUUAUUGACGUAACGCGUAUUUUGUACGCGGCGGUACUAAGUAAGGUAUUAUACAUAUUAUUAAAAAUAUAUUAUUGAAUGUAUGCCAGUUUCGUUCGCCGAGUGGACAUCUUUUAGUGUAUUUGUUUAUCGCUAGGACAGCCAUCUUCCCGUUCAAGUCUUCCAUACAACAUAAGUAUUAAAUAACAGAUUGAUACAUUUACUUUAUUUGAAUUACAUCUUUCUCUUUGCCAUUAGGAAAACAAACUUUUUGUCCCUCGGUCUUUUGCUUUGUAAAAAAAUAAGUAUACACAUAGAACAAUUCGUAAGGUCUAGUGGUUAGUUCCGUAGUACGGUUUGCUAGAAGACGUUGGUUCGAAUCCAGCCGGAUCAAUGGAAUUUCUUCUUAGUGUUCAAUCUAUUGUUUACGAUGUUAGUAAUUAUAGUCCUGCGAAGUUGUUAGUGUUUUACAAAUAUACCAGUAUAUCUCCGUGACAUAAUCGACCAGGACCCCGAUUCAGAACUCUUUGAUUUUAACAGAAUCGUUCAAUUGAAUAUCGUUCUCAAAUGGAAGGGCGCUUUCCGAGCUUCAUGAUACGACAUCGUAAUCCAACAGCGUUUACGGAGUUUCUGUGAAAUAGAUUAUAAAAAAAAAUGAAAAUCAACUCAACGAAAAAUUAGUCUCGCAUUAACAUAAAGUAAUAAAAUUGAACAAAAUUCAGACGUUUUAAAAUAAUAAGAGAUUUCCACAUUACGUUUGUAAACAAUAGGACGUUCGGUAAGUUUCAUUCGAUAACCGUGUUCUGAAUAACCUAACCUAAUCGAUUUCAGGUCGGUUUCGAAUACGACAUUUUGACGCUCGAUUCGGGUGUUGUGAAUAAAAAUGAAAAGAAAUCGGUCGACAACUGAGUUAUCGUAACGUUCUGAAUCGACCCCCUGGAAUAAGGAGAUUUUUUUUUUUUGUAAUAAAUAUUUCGUGUCAUAUCAUAAUUCGUAUCAUAAUCAUUUUGCCCCACAGUGAUAAAUUGUUUUAAAACCGAUAUUGCAACGCCUAGAAUAGCUUAGCACACCUAAAAAUCGCCAAGUUUUUUGGUGUCCAUCUUACUAGAGCAACGUCAUAGGCCAAACUAGUGUAAGUGCUUCA